rnacentral:rRNA from 1 species
AUGGGGUGACUGCGUACCUUUUGUAUAAUGGGUCAGCGACUUAUAUUCUGUAGCAAGGUUAACCGAAUAGGGGAGCCGAAGGGAAACCGAGUCUUAACUGGGCGUUAAGUUGCAGGGUAUAGACCCGAAACCCGGUGAUCUAGCCAUGGGCAGGUUGAAGGUUGGGUAACACUAACUGGAGGACCGAACCGACUAAUGUUGAAAAAUUAGCGGAUGACUUGUGGCUGGGGGUGAAAGGCCAAUCAAACCGGGAGAUAGCUGGUUCUCCCCGAAAGCUAUUUAGGUAGCGCCUCGUGAAUUCAUCUCCGGGGGUAGAGCACUGUUUCGGCAAGGGGGUCAUCCCGACUUACCAACCCGAUGCAAACUGCGAAUACCGGAGAAUGUUAUCACGGGAGACACACGGCGGGUGCUAACGUCCGUCGUGAAGAGGGAAACAACCCAGACCGCCAGCUAAGGUCCCAAAGUCAUGGUUAAGUGGGAAACGAUGUGGGAAGGCCCAGACAGCCAGGAUGUUGGCUUAGAAGCAGCCAUCAUUUAAAGAAAGCGUAAUAGCUCACUGGUCGAGUCGGCCUGCGCGGAAGAUGUAACGGGGCUAAACCAUGCACCGAAGCUGCGGCAGCGACACUGUGUGUUGUUGGGUAGGGGAGCGUUCUGUAAGCCUGUGAAGGUGUGCUGUGAGGCAUGCUGGAGGUAUCAGAAGUGCGAAUGCUGACAUAAGUAACGAUAAAGCGGGUGAAAAGCCCGCUCGCCGGAAGACCAAGGGUUCCUGUCCAACGUUAAUCGGGGCAGGGUGAGUCGACCCCUAAGGCGAGGCCGAAAGGCGUAGUCGAUGGGAAACAGGUUAAUAUUCCUGUACUUGGUGUUACUGCGAAGGGGGGACGGAGAAGGCUAUGUUGGCCGGGCGACGGUUGUCCCGGUUUAAGCGUGUAGGCUG